rnacentral:lncRNA from 1 species
UUCUUCUUUUUCCUCCUCCCAUCUCACUUUUUUCUCCUAUUCCAUGAAAGUUUCUCUCAAGCUUCCAUCAUUCUCUCAAACAAACCCUAAUUUUCGUGCUUUACACACCCUAUUGUAGGGUUUUUAAUACUCUUUUACUCCUUCACCCCUUCACCUUAAACAAACCCUUAAAAGUUUUUCUUCAAUACUUUCUCUCACCAGCUGAACUUUGUAGAAAGAGAAAAAGAGGUUUCAUGAUAGUUUAAGGACUCUUGGGAAGAAAUUUCAUUACCAUCCACCAAGGUGAGUGAUGAAUUAAGAUUGGUUUUAAGUUAUUGAUGAUGACUAAUAAUUAAAGUUAUGAGUUGUGUUAUUUGCUGAAAUUGUUUAUCUAUUUUUAGUGUUACUAAAGUAGAGAAACGGAAUAGCCAAUCAAAUGGUAAUUGAAAGGUAGAUAGGAAGAGCUAUUGAAGCUUGAAUUGGGAAAUAGCUUUUGGAGUGAUAUUAAUGUAAAUUGGAUUGGCUACGAUGUUUCUGUGCAUGAUAGGUUCCAACAAGGCCCCUCAACCCCAUUUGGACCAUUACGAAAGUUAGAGUCGAUUAAAGGUUCAACAAUUACUAGUGAGUGAAUUUGCAUUAAAAGGUUUUGGGAUAUACACAUAUAUGUUGAUUGAAUCCCUUAAAACAUUUUACUUGGUUUUUUCUUCAAAACUUGCACGGGAACAAGCCCUUGUGAAAUGUUUUUAUGUUAUGAAAUGGAUUGUGUGAUGAAUUCAUAUGUUUCUAUAUAAUGUUGAUAUAUAUAUAUACUAUGUCAUAAAUGGUACCAUUGUGUGACAAAUGCAAUCGUGCAUGUGCGGGGUGAGUGUGCACUUGCCAGUGAUGACAGUGGUUAGAGAGAUGAAUGGUGAUACUGCCCAUGUGCACAAUGUGGGGGGAUGCACACGAUGGCAUUAACUGUGCAUGAUGUGGGGGGAUGCACACGAUGACUCUGGCUAUGUGCACGAUGUGGGGGGAUACACAUGAAUUGGUUGAGAUGGGGUGUCCCGUUAUGUGCACGAUGUGGGGGAUGCACAUGAGUUGGAUAAGAUGGGGUGGUUGUCAAGCCCUACUAUAUUAUAUACUUUUCAUGUCAUUCAUGUACUUGAUAGCAUAUCUACAUACUGGGAUACCUCAAAGAAUCAUUAAAAGUCGGCAUCGUACCUAGUGGUACAAUUAAGUCGAUUAAAACCUCGAACUAGUUUGAAUAGAGAUUUUAGGAUAUAUUUUAGAGUUAUUGAACGUUAGACUAUCUCAAUAUGGUGAUUCGGAGUUCGAGGAUUAAUUUGGAGUCAAAUUAGGAAUUUUCAUAACAUAGGGGCAAAAUGGUCAUUUUACCACCCGAGGGCAAAAUGGGAAUGUUUGAUGAAAUUUUUGACCAAGUUUGACUAAUUGGAGAAUGAUUUGAAUUUGAGAAAUGAAAAAUUUUAAUUUCGACAUUUUUCCGAACAUAAGGGCAAAAUAGUCAUUUUACGUGUCGAUAAGGACGUAAUUGAAAUUUUUGGAAUUUUACACCACCAUAACACUUGUCAAGCCCAUGAAUUUUACCUAUUAUUAUUUUAUACUUUGGAUAAUUAAGAGAUUACAUAUGGUGGUGAGAAAAUGCUUAAUUGUUAAGUUUUAACCAUGGACCAAUCACAUGGUGACACACGUCAAGUUUUAAUAUUUUUAUAAUUUCCUUUAUAAAGUCAACAUAAACUCUCCCAUUUCACUCUUCAUGGCUGGCCAAAGCAAUGAUCAAAGAGAAAAGAAUAGAAACAAACCCUAGAGAGGAAAAUUCAAGAGAAAUUUAUUGAAUUUCAAAGAACAAAGCAAUCAAUGGUAAGAUUUUUCAAUUUUAGCUUAAAAUCUACCUUUCCCAUGCUUUCUUUUUCAUUUUCUAUGGUUGAAACACAAGUUUCCAUGAGAGAAUACUUGUUGGCCAAACAUAGGGAGAGAGGUUUUGAUGAUGGAUUUUGCUAGAUUUCAUGAUAUCUUAGUGUUUUUAGUUGUUUGAUGAUGUUUGGCAUGAAAAACAAGCAAGAAAAUCACAUGCCCUUCAACAACCCUUUUUGGCCAAAUGUUAUAAAUGACAUGUUGAUGAUGGAUUUUGUUGUAUUUCAUGUUAUUUAGCUCGUAAUUGAUGAUUUAUGUCAUCGGAUAUCAAAAACGGCUAUCGAAAAGUAUAGUUCCUUUAGUAAACGACUUGAACAAUAAUGAGAAAAUCAUAGUAAAUGGACUUGGAUUUGAUUCCUAAUGAUGUAGAUGGAUUUAUUGGACUAUGUUAACACUGAUUAGCACAUUAGUUCAAAAUCAGAAUGAAUUUCGAUUUUGAUGAAUUAAGUCACAAUCAAGCUUAUUGAGGUACUUUGGUGUAUUUGGAAUAUUGGAAGUGUAAUGAAUAUAUUUGAAGUUGAAUUAGAUGUUUUGGUUAAUUCAACAGUGUAUAGUUCAAGUUAGGUCGAAUACAAAUUAAGUUCGAUCAUAAUUGAACCCAUGUAGAACACCGUCCUUAUGUGAUUAUUCGAACAAUUCUCAUUCAAUGUCAUGCAUUCAUAUAGAGAUUGAAAUAGUUUUAUAACAGUUUGGCUCAAAUAUAUUGAAUUAUGUGUUGUGUAUUAUGUAUAGGUGGUGAGCCCUCUAAUAAGGGUAAAAAUAUUGUACCCGAGGACCAAGAAUAGGAGUACUCGAAAUUUCCAUUAUUGUGAGUAAUCAAAUGUUCAUCUUAACUAUCUAAAGUAGUUUAUACUCAUUUUUAUGAUUUUAAAAAAUAAUGAACUUAAACCGUAGAUUUUUAUGUUUUAUAAGUUAAGUGUUGGCUAAAUGAAUGAGAUUUAUAAAUUAUUUUGCAAUUCAAUGAUGAUUUUGGAAAUUGAGUAGGUGGAGACUAUAUACUUGUGUUAUCUAUAUAUAUAUAUAUAUAUGGUUUGAAUUAAUGGCUUAUGACAAUGUGAUGGCAUGAAUGGCUGGAUUUGUGGUUUGUGGAUUAUAUAAACUGUUUUGUUUUACCUUAACAGGCUGGGUAAUAUUGUAUUAGCCAUGUCAUGCUGUCGAAAUUUUUAUUGAUUUGGUGGGUUAUUUAAUUAGCUUACUACAGUGGGUAGGUUUCCAUGGACCAGCCUAUUAGAGGGGCACGGUAAACCCCGUUAUAUUUUACCUUAGUAUGAGAGGUGCGGAGGGUAUCUCCUAAGGUAAGUUUAGAGUUCACUUCACGCCGAACCACCACGUGAGGAUGAAACUCAGCCAACGCCAAGGAAUGACUAUAUUUUAAAAGUAAAAACAUGUUUUAUGGGUAUAUGUUGUUUUAAUAUCCUUGGCGAACUCGGUUGGAUGCCCGGGCCAAGGUUUCACCGAGUAUGAGUUUUGACACAAGCCAAGUUUUUAAGAGAAUCAUAAGCCUUGUUGAUUGUUUCGAUGAAAUGUAAUUGUUUUAUAUGAAUUGAAAUGAGUUUUAAAUGUUAUGAAUCAUAUUAUGAUGGGAUGAUUUAAUUGUCUCAAUUUACGUAGCUUUAGAUGUUGUAGAUAAACUUUGCUUACUCAGUGGGUUUACAAAAACUCACCCCUUUCUUUUUACCCAUUUCAGGCUCAAGAUAGUAUGUAGACAGUCGAUUUUGUCGAGGGUUGCUUUUGGAUUAGCAUCCUUAGAAAUCGAAGGUCUACAGUCUUGUAUAUUUUCGGUUAUUUUGGAGCCCACAUGUCAUUGUAAAAUAUUUUUGUAUACUUGGUUUAGUGUGCUAUUAUAUAUAUGAAUUUAUUUUGCUCUUGCGCUACAAAAUUUGUUUAUGUAGGAUUCUAUAAAUAUUGUUUUAUAAGAAAAUGAAAUAUUUUAUUUAAUGUUUUAUUUAGUUUGAUUAGCCAUAAUUUCAUUUUAAAUGGAUGAUCUAGAUUACUAAAAUUUUUUUUAGAUAAGAAAUGUAUAUUUUUCUAUCGUAUAUUGUAUUUUCACCAAGUUUCAAAAUUUUUGGAAAAAAAGGACCAAAAUACAGCUAUGUGGUAGAAAUUACUUUUUGUUUAUUUUUUAUUUAAAAAUAGUUUAUAUUCCCUUAAAAGAUGAUAUUUAGUAUUUGUUGCUCAUAGGGGACUCGUAAAAUUGAUGCAAGAGCCUUGCGAGGUUUUGGUUGACAUUUCGAGUAAUGAAUGUCUAUCGAGACAUCGCGAUGGUUGUCAUGGGCUUGAAGGGAGUACCGGGUCGUGACAGUGGUAUAUGAAUUGGUAUAUGUUUAAGUAUAUGUAUAUGCAAUAAAAAGAUCAUGAUUAUAAUAUGUGAUUGUAUGGUAUGAUGAAUCUUGAAAAUUUCCCAUUAACUUGCAAAUUGAUUUUAUUGCAGCGAGAAACAUGUUGUUUAUGCUACCUUGCUUGGAUGAUUGUUGGAAAUUUCCUCUCUUUCAAAUUUUAUGCUGAACAUGGUUUCUUCAUCAUUAAAUGAUUUUACAACCCAGGGUUAAAUGGAGGGAUUUUAAUAAGAACUUGAACUAAGUAGCAUGGUUUUCAAAUAAGUGCAUCAUGAUUAUCAACUUUCCUUAUCGUUGCUUAUUCUCUUCUUAUGUUCACUCACUGAGUUUGUACUCACUGUUUUCAACUUCAUGUUUUUAGAUUAGGAGGCAGUUGGAACCUAGGCCGAGAUGUCCACGUAGUUUGGUCUCUUUGGUAGGUAUGUUGGCAUUCAGUAGCCGUCCCUUCACCCUGGUCAUUCCGCUAAAGGCCUAGAGUCAUUUUGUUUGUAAAUACGUACAUGUGAUGUAAAGAACUAAAAUGCAAGCUUUAAAGAAUAUAUGUAUAUUUUGAUUGGUAAGCCACCAUGAGUGGUAAUGGUUAACAUUAUUUGGGUUAAUGUGAAAUGCAGUUUUGAUUGCUAUAGCAUAUUAAUUAGGUUCUUUUAGAUUGGAAGUAUGAAAGGUGACUUUAAGAUUAGUUGAUGGAAUGAUGAGCAGGAUUAUAUAAGUAGGCUUGCUUAGGCUUGGUGUGUGAGACCUCGACCUCUAUAGGCUCGUAACUAGGCAUAGACGCAAUAACACGGGCCAGGGGUAGUUCAUCAUUUCCCUAGUGAGCCCUUAAAAGUAAGUUUUAAACAAUAUUAAGGCCUAACUAGGCCUAAGGCAUAAAUGAAUGAUGAAAUACAGGUAAAAUGACGAAGGAAAUAAAAAUAAGGAUGAUUCCCAAGGUAGGGGCAAAAUGGUCAUUUUUCAUCUUGGGUUAAAAUUUUAAGUUUUCAUAAACUCGAGUAUUUUUAGACCAUUGUGGACUUGGCCUCAGUGUCAAAAGAGUAAAAAGAUUGCACAAAGGAUUGAAGAAGAAUAAGCCAACUUGCUAAGGGCAUUUUCAUAAUUUAAGUGGAGUUGGAUAAGCUUGAGCUAUAAAUAUCAUCUUUCAACAACUUCUUCUCUCUUUUCCAGCAGCUUCUUCUUCUACUUCCUUUUUCCCUCUCACGUUGCUUUCAUCCUCUAUGGGAGUUCUCUUCAAGCUUCCAUAACUCUCUCAAGCUAGCUCCACUUUUCAUGCUUUUGUGCACCCUUUCAUAGAACCUUUGUGCUCUUUCACUCUCUCACUUUAAAACCCUUGGAAAGUCUUACUUUCAUACUUUCUCUCACUAGCUAGGUGUUCUAGAGAGAGAAAGAAAGAGCUUCUAUAAUAGCUUGAAAAUUUGUGGAAAGAAUUUCAAAUUUACAAAGCUACCAAGGUGAGUAGUGAAUUGAAGUUGAUUUUUUUUAAGUGUUAAGAAUGUCUAGUAAUUUGAUUUGUGAGUGUUUUAUUGUUGAGAUAGUUUGUUCAUAUUUAGUGUGACUAGAGUAGUGCAAAUAAUAGCCAUUUAAUGGUAGUUGGAAGCUAGUUAGGAAUGACUAGUAGAACUCAAUUUAGAAAAUAGCUUUGGAAUAAUAUUAAUGCCAAGUUGGGUUAAUGGUGAUGUUGUUGUGUGUGAUAGGUUCCAACAAAACCCCACACCUCCAUUCGGAACCUUAAUUGAAGCUAAAGCCCACCAAAACAUCAAUAAAGACUGGUGAGUGAACUUGCAUUUCAAAAUUUCUUUGGGAAAGGUAAUGUAUUUGAAUGAACAUUUGAAUGAUUUUAUCCAACUUUUCUUUAAAAAUGUGUGCCAGGGAACAAGCCCUUGAUAAAAUGUUUUAAUGCUGUGAAAAAAUAUGAAAUGUGUAAAAGGAUGAAUCCAUGUGCUUCUAUAUUAUGUUGGUAGGUAUAUAUAAGAAUAUAUGUUUUGUAUUGAUGAAUAAUGUUGUGUGAUGAUAUUGAAGUGUACGAGUAGGGAGUGCACACAUGAUGAUGAUAGAGUGUGAGAGUAGGGAGUGCACACAUGAUGAUGAUAUUGCAUUGAGUUGAGUGUGGUGGGAUGAUAUGCAUGAUGAUGUAUGUAUAUACAAAUAUAUAUAUGUUAUAGAAAGUUUAUGAAAAUAAUUAUGAUUGUGUUGUGUGUUGGAAUUGUUAAUUGCUCCCAAAUUGCCUUUCAUUUCAACAAGAAAAUGGCUUUUGAUGUAGCAAGACCCAUUUCACUUAAAAUGCUCUGUUUCUCACUGCAGCGAGAUUCCUUUUCCCUGCAAUGAGAAACUCUUGGUUUUAGGGAUCACAUUGGCCUGAUUCUCGCUGUAGCGGGAAACUCUUGGGUUCUAGUGCAGUACUUUCACUUUGAUGAAGAUUUGGACCACAUUACCGUCCUAACUUGGAAAAGUGGUAAACGUAGAAUUGUAACCCUGCCUUUUAGCUUUCUAAUGGUCAAAAAAUCAGGUCAAAUGGACUUCUGUAGUGGGAGAUAUGCUAGAAAAACUGAAACACAUGCAAACUAACACUGUUUCUCGCUACAGCGAGAAACUUGCUGCCAUGCUUGCUACCUUGCUUGAUUGUGACAUAUUUUUCACCAAUUUAACUUCAUGGAUUGAUCAUGGGUUUUUGCAACACUAUGAGGUUAUUAAUCAAAGUUUGAAAAGAGGGGUUUUUAGUAAGAAAUUAAAUCAGUUGCAUUGUUUUUGAUACAAGUGCAUCAUGAUUUCCAAAUUCUUCCUAUCGAUUGCUUGUUCCCUUUUUAUGUUCAGUCACUGAGUUUAUACUCACCUUUUUCAAAUUCAUGUUUUCAGAUCAAGAGGCAGUCGGUAACUAGGUCGAGGUGUUCUCGUAGAUUCAUAUCGUUGGUAGGUAUCUUGGCAUUUCGUAGCCGCACCUUCUCCUUGGUGACUCCGCUGGAAGCCCA